rfam:Anolis carolinensis unplaced genomic scaffold chrTn0047, whole genome shotgun sequence.
CGAAAUGCACAAACUUACUCUAAAUGCACCAGAUCCCAUCUGGUCUUGAAAGCUAAGCAGAGUGAGCCUUAGUUAGUACUUGAGUAAAAGAUUGGCAGUUAAUACCAGGUGCUGUAGC